rnacentral:rRNA from 1 species
CCAGACUCCUACGGGAGGCAGCAGUGGGGAAUAUUGCACAAUGGGGGAAACCCUGAUGCAGCGACGCCGCGUGAGUGAUGAAGUAUUUCGGUAUGUAAAGCUCUAUCAGCAGGGAAGAUAAUGACGGUACCUGACUAAGAAGCUCCGGCUAAAUACGUGCCAGCAGCCGCGGUAAUACGUAUGGAGCAAGCGUUAUCCGGAUUUACUGGGUGUAAAGGGAGCGCAGACGGCAGGGCAAGUCUGAUGUGAAAGUCCGGGGCUCAACCCCGGGACUGCUUUGGAAACUGUGCGGCUGGAGUGCAGGAGGGGUAAGCGGAAUUCCUAGUGUAGCGGUGAAAUGCGUAGAUAUUAGGAGGAACACCGGUGGCGAAGGCGGCUUGCUGGACAGUAACUGACGUUGAGGCUCGAAAGCGUGGGGAGCAAACAGGAUUAGAUACCCCUGUAGG